AAAACAGGCAGCAUGGCGGACGAUGUGAACGACAUCGGGAAGAAAGAUGAUGAUCAAGCGGAAAGGGAGCAUUUUAUCAGGAUUAUUAACGCCUUCAAGUUCUACAGGUUAUAUAUAGUUAUUUCUCUAAGCGUAGGAUUAUUCGCAUACCAUUCUUUUGAUUAUUUUAGAGUCAACCCGACAUAGCUGUUCACACAUCUUUGUUCACAGGAGUUUCUCGAUGCGGAGAGUUUACAACGCGGAGAAGUCGUUCAACAGUCUCCCACAGCAACACCAGGAACUCAUUCCACGUUUCCUCGACAAUUUAAAAACUAUACAAACCUGUAUCACCCACAAUUAUGAAAUAAUCCGCCUUAUCAUUAAAGAUGCAGAGUACAUCUUUGAGAACAAAACUCACGAAGCCGAUGACAAGCCAGAAGAAAACUUGAAGCAAAUGCCACCUACAAACUUUGAUAUGGACAAGGUCAAGACAACCCUAAAACAGUUCGUGAGAGACUGGAGUGCUAGUGGGGAACAAGAGAGGAGAGAAUGUUACGACCCUGUCUUGUCUGAGGUCAAGGAAAUCUUUAAGGACAGGGACAGGUCUGGUGUGAGUAUACUGGUUCCUGGGGCGGGCCUGGGGAGACUGGCCUUUGAGUUUGCUUCCUGUGGCUUCAGGUGUCAAGGAAACGAGUGGAGUCUGUUUAUGUUGCUGGCCUCCAACUUUGUUCUAAACAAGUGCACAGAGGUCAAUUCUUUCACUCUGUAUCCAUGGAUACACCAAUGGACAAACAACACAAUGACCGCUGACCAAACACAACCAGUACAAUUCCCUGAUGUUAACCCUAGUGACCUGCCCCCUACUUCAGAUUUUUCAAUGGCUGCUGGAGAUUUUCUGGAAGUGUAUCAAACCCCAGACAUGUUUGACAGUGUGGUGACUGUGUUUUUCCUGGAUACAGCACACAAUGUUAUAGCCUACAUAGAGACUAUAUAUGAUAUACUGAAGCCAGGGGGCUACUGGGUCAACCUAGUUUGGAGACAGCUCACCCUCCCCCUCUCUCUCCACAGGUCCUCUAUUGUAUCACUAUGCAGACAUUGAGAAUGAGACUUCCAUAGAGCUCAGCUUUGAGGAGGUGAAAAAAGUGGUCAAAAAGGUCGGAUUUCGUAUACAGAAAGAGGAGGCUGACAUACCUACAACUUACACCCAGAAUCCAGCCUCCAUGCUUCAGUAUAAAUACCACAGCGUCAAGCUGGUGUGUCAAAAACCACACGAGUCGGACACCACGUGACAUGUCACACAACAUCCUGACAAGAACACCCCACAAUGAAGAUUGUACAUUGUAGCUACAGAGUGUUGUUUUUAAUAGACUUUUUUUUAUCAAUCACAAAGGGAAUGUGAGAGGCAAUUCAGGUUUCUUGUACUGAUUUAGCCACUUUUUGGGGAUGUAGAAUAGAUUUUUUUCUACCUGAAAAUUGUACACAAGAUCUCAGGAAUGAAAAUAUAAGCCAUGUUUGUAUAGAAUCUUCUCUGAAUAGACAUCCCUGUUACUGACUGUUAGUAAUAUUUUACACAGUUUCAUGUGGAUUGAAAUGAAUCUUAAAAUGCUGUUUUUCUUUCGGUUUUACCAUGUUUACCACAGAAAUUGACCAUGAUGUAGACAAACAUUGAAACUACUGUAUUUGGAUAAUGUGAAGGGUUCAGUGCAUAUAGAAUGUAAAAAAAAAGUCAUAAGUUUGAAGAUUUCUGCAACUUUGAUGAGCUGAGAGGUUGUACUUGCAUUUGGAAAACACGAUUGCAUGGAUUCCUCUGCAAUAUUUACUAGCACGUGUGUAGAGAAUAUGCCAAUUUUAAUACAGUACUGCUCUGGUUUAUUUUCUUCUUUUAAAACUAUACAUGUCUAUGUUUAAUCCUGAAUAAAAACAAUGGUUUC
rnacentral:misc_RNA from 1 species